rnacentral:tRNA from 1 species
AUUUAUAUAGUUUAAAUUAAAACAUUACAUUUUCAUUGUAAAAUCAGAUUAUUUCUUAUAAAUA